CCAGGGGCUUUUUGAACAGCUGAGUGCUUUUAAAGCAAUCAAAUUCCUUUUCCUUUGAAUCAUGCAGCUGUUGAACAAGUUUUUGC
rnacentral:pre_miRNA from 1 species